CAGUCGCCGCGGGAAUACGAAGGGUGCAAGCGUUAAUCGGAAUUACUGGGCGUAAAGCGUGCGUAGGCGGUGAGUUAAGUCUGCUGUGAAAUCCCCGGGCUCAACCUGGGAAUGGCAGUGGAUACUGGCUCGCUAGAGUGUGGUAGAGGAUAGUGGAAUCUCCGGUGUAGCAGUGAAAUGCGUAGAGAUCGGAAGGAACAUCUGUGGCGAAGGCGACUAUCUGGGCCAACACUGACACUGAGGCACGAAAGCGUGGGGAGCAAACAGGAUUAGAUACCCGGGUAGUCCCUGUCUCUUAUAC
rnacentral:rRNA from 1 species